UUCACAAAUUAACAUACGUUUUUCUCGGUGUCCAUGUUGACACGGCAUGUUUAUUCAUACGGGGAACAGGUUAAGUAUAGUUCUGCCAAUUGACAAUUUUACAGGCGGUAUCAUAACUGCAUAAACGUGGAUGUAGAAUUUUUCAUUAGUGGGUGUGUGAAGAAUGUUAAAAUGUAUAGUAAAAGAGUAAAAUGGAUGAAAUGAGUUUUAAAAAUGGCGCGAAAAGAUAACUGUACCGUCAUAUGAGUUAUAGGUAACGUAACCUGAACUUCUUCUGUAAAGAAGUAAACCAAUAAACUUAACAAAGCUGAACUUUUUCAUUGGUUCAUACUGUAUGACAGACGAUAUCAUAUAACUCACCCUACAGAAAAAGAAAUUAAAUAAGGGAGUCCUUAACUUCUGCCAACAUAAUGUAUACUGUGAUCAUAAUGAUGCGUGUUAUAUGUCACGUACCUUGCGGUAGGAAUAUUAUUCUGGUCUGAUCUAACCUGAUUCACCAACUGAAUUAACCUAACCUGAGUCACUAACUGAAUCGGAAUGGGUCAGAAAAAUAUCACAGUUAGCCACAGAAGUCAAGAUUCAUUAUCGAAGUUCGACGCCACAUCGAGAAGACGAAAGUAAUUCCUUGAGUAGGAUGCAGCAGGAGUAGGAUCUAAGGACAAAAUUUAUUCAAUUUUAAAAUAGUUUUACAUAAAAUUAUGUUUCAUUGUACAUCUUAUUAAAUUUUCACACUUGUUAACAUAAUUGGUGGCUCUAGAAACCGAUUUCUGAAAUACUUUAAGCUAUAAUGUCUGUUACGGUAUUUCGACAUUUUACCACAUAUCUUUCAAAAUGGCAUUCUAUCAGUGCGGUUCAGAAAUUUUCCAAAUGCACUGAUAAGUUUAAUGUGAAAUACUUUUACUCAGACCUUGAACUACAUUUAGAAAUUUUUGUUUGAAUAAAAAUUGUUUUAGAUUUGUUGAACAAUAGGGAAGCAAAUUAAUUUUGUUUCUUAUUAAUUUUUUUUAAAUACUGAAAUUAAGUGUUUCUUCUACUAGUAUGUGAUGACGUGACCAGUUAAGCAUUCUUUGGCGCGAUUUCACGUGAGACCGAAUUAUUAAACGAAUCAGUCGUAGUGUAUUUAUUACAUUGUAAAUAUUUACUGUAUUAAAGUAUUCUGAACAUUUACGUUGCUAACUAUACCAACAUAUAAUUGUCCUCGAUCUGAAACUCAUCAUAUCAACAAAAUCUAAAAUUUUGUAAUACACUUUUAUUAAUUUUUCUUACAUUAUAAAGUCACAUAAAUUCCUCAGAAUGUUGAAGGAAAAGAGAAAGGAAAAAGAUUACACAUAAAAAGAUGUUUGUGCAGCAGUAAAAGCCUUUAAAACAGAUACUUCGUUACAAGUAGCCAGUGAAAUGUUUUGUGUACCAAAAUUAAUUCAGAAGAAAUAAUUCCAUAGUAAUCGAUGGAAUAAAUUUUUUUAUUAAUAAACUAUUUGUAUUCCACAAAAGAAAUUUAGGAACUUGAGAAUUUUAGG